rnacentral:rRNA from 1 species
GAUGAACGCUGGCGGCGUGCCUAAUGCAUGCAAGUCGAGCGAACGGACGAGAAGCUUGCUUUUCUGAUGUUAGCGGCGGACGGGUGAGUAACACGUGGAUAACCUACCUAUAAGACUGGGAUAACUUCGGGAAACCGGAGCUAAUACCGGAUAAUAUUUUGAACCGCAUGGUUCAAAAGUGAAAGACGGUCUUGCUGUCACUUAUAGAUGGAUCCGCGCUGCAUUAGCUAGUUGGUAAGGUAACGGCUUACCAAGGCAACGAUGCAUAGCCGACCUGAGAGGGUGAUCGGCCACACUGGAACUGAGACACGGUCCAGACUCCUACGGGAGGCAGCAGUAGGGAAUCUUCCGCAAUGGGCGAAAGCCUGACGGAGCAACGCCGCGGGAGUGAUGAAGGUCUUCGGAUCGUAAAACUCUGUUAUUAGGGAAGAACAUAUGUGUAAGUAACUGUGCACAUCUUGACGGUACCUAAUCAGAAAGCCACGGCUAACUACGUG